rnacentral:rRNA from 1 species
GACGAACGCUGGCGGCGUGCUUAACACAUGCAAGUCGAACGGAAAGGCCCUGCUUUUGUGGGGUGCUCGAGUGGCGAACGGGUGAGUAACACGUGAGUAACCUGCCCUUGACUUUGGGAUAACUUCAGGAAACUGGGGCUAAUACCGGAUAGGAGCUCCUGCUGCAUGGUGGGGGUUGGAAAGUUUCGGCGGUUGGGGAUGGACUCGCGGCUUAUCAGCUUGUUGGUGGGGUAGUGGCUUACCAAGGCUUUGACGGGUAGCCGGCCUGAGGGGGUGACCGGCCACAUUGAGACUGAGAUACGGCCCAGACUCCUACGGGAGGCAGCAGUGGGGAAUAUUGCACAAGGGGCGGAAGCCUGAUGCAGCAACGCCGCGUGCGGGAUGACGGCCUUCGGGUUGUAAACCGCUUUCGCCUGUGACGAAGCGUGAGUGACGGUAAUGGGUAAAAAAGCACCGGCUAACUACGAG